AUUUUGUUCAAUAUAAGUAUUGCUACCCUGGUUUUCUUUUCACUUCCAUUUGCAUGAUAAAUGCUUUUCCAUCCCUUCAUUUUCUCCAAGUGUCUUUAGAUCUGAUUUGUUAGAAGAGCAUCUAUCAAUUCAGUCCAUUUCAACAUGAAUGAUGUGUCUCUCUGCAUAAGAAAACAGGGUUCUGGAAAUACCUAAAGGAAAUUUUGAAGGUGGAAGUAUACGUGGGAGUUCGUAAGCAUAAACUUGAACUUAUUGUCCAACUUUUAACCAACUUAAUGAUCUUUAAAGUGGCUUUUGGUGUAUUUAAAUGGAGAAGCAUUACCAGGAAGCUUUUUUAAACAGACCUGAUUAAAUCCUGUCUCCUUGACCAUGAUCACGUCACAUUUCCUCUUUACCUACCAAAGUUGAGGAAAGUAUUAACUGACUAAAGGACAUUCAGCACCCAGUAUAUCUACAUCAUAUUUCUACAGAAGACAGCUGUGUUUGAGCUCUUUGAUUCCUAUUACAUAUUCCCUACACCUUCCACUAUAACUUGGCCUCAACAUUACCAUUCUGCUAAGCAGCGGUCAGCAAACUUCCAUAAAGGCCCAGAUGAACCAUCUGGAAGUGGCAGCUGUAUUGCAUCUUCACUAAAGCUGGAAGAGGAAGUAGUGGGCUUAAGCUUCCACAGAGGGAUUUAGGUUAAAUAUAAGAAAGUAUUUCCUUACAAGAAGAUUCGUAAACAUUGGUCUGAGUAACGAAGGAGGUGGUAUAAUCACAUUCCCUGGAGGACUUCACCACAGAAGAGAUAUUUGUCCAAUUAAGAUGACUUUUGGUGCAUGCCCACAAGAAGCAGGUUUGUUGUUGAAGUUCAUACUCAGUCUUCUAUUCUUAAUUAUACUUUAAUGUUUGAUCAGUCUAUUGUGCUUUAUGUGGUAUGGAUUCAUAUUUGGGUAAC
rnacentral:lncRNA from 1 species